AAGUCGUAACAAGGUUUCCGUAGGUGAACCUGCGGAAGGAUCAUUAACACGUUCAUCCACGUUUAAUACCCCCUCUCUUCGCGAACUUAUUUCGUUCAAAAGUCGGCAGUCCAGUGUGGCGAUGGAGGUAGAUUCUUACUAUGUCCGGUGGUCGAAGCCCCGGUUCUACCUGCCUAUUCGGCAAUAACCCCACGUCGGAGGUGUCGAGCAUACUGGUUUAAUACUCUGCGUAGACUUGAAUCAUAGUAGUUUGUCUGUAUCACCCUUUUUAAUAAUUGUAACAUUGUGAUGGUUGCGAGGUAACACUCGCGGCUCACAUAAAUAAAACACAAUACAACUCUUAGCAACGGAUAUCUCGGUUCU
rnacentral:misc_RNA from 1 species